rnacentral:rRNA from 1 species
GUAAGGAAUAUUGGACAAUGGGGGAAACCCUGAUCCAGCCAUGCCGCGUGAGUGAAGAAGGCCUUCGGGUUGUAAAACUCUUUCAGAUGUGAAGAUGAUGACGGUAACAUCAGAAGAAGCUCCGGCUAACUUCGUGCCAGCAGCCGCGGUAAUACGAAGGGAGCGAGCGUUGUUCGGAAUCACUGGGCGUAAAGAGUGCGUAGGCGGUUAUACAAGUCAGGAGUGAAAUCCCAGAGCUUAACUUUGGAAUUGCUUUUGAAACUGUAUAGCUAGAGUCCCGGAGGGGUUAAUGGAAGUCCGAGUGUAGAGGUGAAAUUCGCAGAUAUUCGGAGGAACACCAGUGGCGAAGGCGAUUAACUGGACGGGCACUGACGCUGAGGCACGAAAGCGUGGGGAUCAAACAGGAUUAGAUACCCUGGUAGUCC